UUGUCUACAAACAGGGACAGUUUGGUUUCCCUCCCCCUAUUGGAAUGCUCUUUAUUUCUUUCUCUUGUAUGAUUGCUCUGGUCAGAACUUUCAAUAUUAUGUUGGAUAGGAAUUGUGAAGAGGGCAUCCUUGUCUGGUGCCAGUUUUCA